UAGGAAUGUGACUAUAUAAAUGUUCGUCUCUCGCCUUCUGUUAGAUGAAGAAAAUAAUAGUGCGAGUGAAUUAACGGAUAUAAGAGAAGAAUAGUGCUCGGAAGUCUUGAGCCCAGAGAAGAUAUCUUGGAAAAUCAGAUCUGAAGCAUAUACUGAGGGAUAGACCAAUGCAAAGUAUCAAAACGAUAGCUUUAAAGACAAGAGACAAAUUGUCGGAGGAACUGAGAGGCGGACACAUUCCCUAAAGAAAUUGUAUCUUCUAAAAGGCACUGACAAAUUAAGGACUACAAUGAGCUAUAAGGACCUCCACGACUGAGCAAGCAAAUUUUUCCAGAAUUCACCUUUAAUUAAGC
rnacentral:sRNA from 1 species